rnacentral:rRNA from 1 species
UACGUAGGUGGCAAGCGUUGUCCGGAUUUACUGGGCGUAAAGAGCGCGCAGGCGGUCGUCCAAGUCGAAUGUGAAAGCCCCCGGCUCAACUGGGGAGGGUCAUUCGAUACUGUUCGACUCGAAGGCAGGAGAGGGAAGUGGAAUUCCGGGGUGUAGUGGUGAAAUGCGAUUGAUAUCGGAAGGAACGCCGGAUGGCGAAGCGG